UGUGUCUGUUAGAGUGUGUUUGUGUGUGUCUGUUAGACACACACACACACACACACACACACUCUAACAGACACACA